GUUUUUUUUACAUCUUAUUUCCUUAUCUUAUCUAAAAUGUUUUUAGAUAAUGUAUGUUGGACAUUUGCCAGACAUGACUAUGAUGUCAUUUUCUAUUUUUAUUUGCCAAUAACUUUAGUAAAUAACUUCAUUGGAAAUUUGCCAAUAUAAAAUGUUGCUGAUGAAGUUUUUUUUAUUGUUUUAUACAAUAAACAAUGUAUAUUCACUUUUACUACCAACCAAUCUUUACCAUUCAGUGAUAACAAGCACUUUAUUUUACAUUUUAUAUUUUAUGAUGUAUUUAAAAGAGUAGUUAUUGUUGCAAACUCCAUUAGAAAUUUGAAUUGAUAUCAGUUUUGAAAAAAGGGAAACGGGGAUGGGAAAAAAGGGGAGGGG
rnacentral:lncRNA from 1 species